rnacentral:rRNA from 1 species
AGAGUUUGAUCCUGGCUCAGAGCGAACGUUAGCGGCAGGCUUAACACAUGCAAGUCGAGCGACAAAGGGGCUUCGGCCCUGAGUAGAGCGGCGGACGGGUGCGUAACACGUGGAUAAUCUGCCUCGUGGCGGGGGAUAACAGUCCGAAAGGACUGCUAAUACCGCAUGUCAGGUCGGAAACCCCGGUUUCUGACGAAAAAGAGGGCGCCCGCAAGGGGCUCUCACCACGAGAUGAGUCCGCGGCCCAUCAGCUAGUUGGCGGUGUAAUAGACCACCAAGGCUAAGACGGGUAGCUGGUCUGAGAGGAUGACCAGCCACACUGGGACUGAGACACGGCCCAGACUCCUACGGGAGGCAGCAGUGGGGAAUAUUGGACAAUGGGCGAAAGCCUGAUCCAGCCAUGCCGCGUGAGUGAUGAAGGUCUUCGGAUCGUAAAGCUCUGUGGGAAGGGACGAAAAAAGCCUAACCUAAUACGUUAGGUCUUGACGGUACCUUCUUAGCAAGCACCGGCUAACUCCGUGCCAG